GGUCUCUGAAGAACAGGGGACUCAGGGCAAACUGUGCUGCAGGCAGGAAUGAACCCCCGCGUUCCCUGGGAGGAAUCCCCAGGGUCCCAGCAGGAUGCAUUAGCAGCACGUCUCUCCAGUGAGCCGUGAUGGGAAGAGCACGGAGCAAAAAAAAGAGAACCGAAGAACCGAUCUCUCGAAGGAUCCUGGCUGGCAGCAGUAUCACCAUCUGACUGAAGAGAACUCAGCCACACGCAUAAUCCUCGGGAAAAUUCAUCUCCACCCUCCCGCAGACCCCGGUGAGAG